AUGUCUUUUAGAAAUUAAUUUAAAGUCUAACCUGCCCACUGAAUUUUUUUUAAAUGGCCGCAGUAUCCUAACUGUGCAAAGGUAGCAUAAUCAUUAGUCUUUUAAUUGAAGGCUGGAAUGAAUGGUUGGAUGAAAUAUUAACUGUUUCAUAAAAAUUUAUAAUAGAAUUUUAUUUUUUAGUCAAAAAGCUAAAAUUUAAUUAAAAGACGAGAAGACCCUAUAAAUCUUUAUACUUAUAAAAUUACAAUUAUAUAGAUAAUUUAAAUUUUAAUUUUUUAUAGUAUUUUAUUGGGGUGAUAUUAAAAUUUAAUAAACUUUUAAUUUAUAAUUUACAUAAAUUAAUGAAUUUUUGAUCCAUUUAUUAUGAUUAAAAAAUUAAGUUACUUUAGGGAUAACAGCGUAAUUUUUUUAGAGAGUUCAUAUUGAUAAAAAAGAUUGCGACCUCGAUGUUGGAUUAAGAUACAGUUUUAGGUGCAGCAG
rnacentral:rRNA from 1 species